UGAGUUUGAUCCUGGCUCAGGAUGAACGCUGGCGAGAUGCCUUACACAUGCAAGUCGUACGAGAAUUUUUAAUUCAAGUGGCGGACGGGUGAGUAACACGUAAGAAUUUGCCUUUAGGAGGGGGACAACAACUGGAAACGGUUGCUAAUACCCCAUAUGCUUUCGAGUGAAAUGGAUUUUUCCGCCUAGAGAGAAGCUUGCGGCUGAUUAGCUUGUUGGUGAGGUAAUGGCUCACCAAGGCGACGAUCAGUAUCUGGUUUGAGAGGACGAUCAGACACACUGGAACUGAGACACGGUCCAGACUCCUACGGGAGGCAGCAGUGGGGAAUUUUCCGCAAUGGGCGAAAGCCUGACGGAGCAAUCUCGCGUGAGGGAUGACGGCCUAUGGGUUGUAAACCUCUUUUUUCAGGGAGGAAUAAAAUGACGUGUACCUGAAGAAUAAGCAUCGGCUAACUCCGUGCCAGCAGCCGCGGUAAGACGGAGGACGCAAGUGUUAUCCGGAAUCACUGGGCGUAAAGCGUCUGUAGGUGGUUUAAUAAGUCAACUGUUAAAUCUUGAAGCUCAACUUCAAAAUCGCAGUCGAAACUANNAGACUAGAGUAUAGUAGGGGUAAAGGGAAUUUCCAGUGGAGCGGUGAAAUGC
rnacentral:rRNA from 1 species